ensembl:lncRNA
GGCACAGCAGCAUUAGUGCUGAGCUGGAGCGAGGAGAGGAACAAUACGGCACAUUAGAGGAGCAGCCAGCACACGCCAGAAACUGCUCCAGACUUCUAAUUAGCAUUCAUUAACAGUAGGGGAAAGAGCGAUUAUGGUCUUUAAGCAGUGCAUUAGCUAAUGUUGCUUUUUCUCACGUCAGCAGAUUUAGAUGGCGAGUAGUGGGCUGCCACAUCAGAGCCACUGCUUUGUGCUGACUGGGAGGUUCUGGUAGAGCUGCUGCACGGGCUUAUCUGAAGGCUGUUUUCACGUUGCUUCCUUUGUGAUCUAUCGGCCCGAAUACAGACGCCUGAGUUGCUGCUCACACCUCAGAUGCAGACAACCCAUGGCGAGUGCUCAUUUAGGGAGUCACUGUCUUAUCCUGGUUGAGGAGUGCAAGGUCAGAGGGAAACGCAGGGUGCCAACCAGACGCAGGUCUGAUAAGGAUGAGACACACCAAGCACCAUGCAACACUCACGCUUUGUUCCUCAUGUUUGCCUUAAUGUCAGC